rnacentral:rRNA from 1 species
CCUACGGGUUGCACCAGUGGGGAAUAUUGCACAAUGGGCGCAAGCCUGAUGCAGCCAUGCCGCGUGUAUGAAGAAGGCCUUCGGGUUGUAAAGUACUUUCAGCGAGGAGGAAGGCAUUAAGGUUAAUAACCUUGGUGAUUGAGGUUACUCGCAGAAUAAGCACCGGCUAACUCCGUGCCAGCAGCCGCGGUAAUACGGAGGGUGCAAGCGUUAAUCGGAAUUACUGGGCGUAAAGCGCACGCAGGCGGUCUGUCGAGUCGGAUGUGAAAUCCCCGGGCUCAACCUGGGAACUGCAUUCGAAACUGGCAGGCUAGAGUCUUGUAGAGGGGGGUAGAAUUCCAGGUGUAGCGGUGAAAUGCGUAGAGAUCGGGAGGAAUACCGGUGGCGAAGGCGGCCCCCUGGACAAAGACUGACGCUCAGGUGCGAAAGCGUGGGGAGCAAACAGGAUUAGAUACCCUUGUAGUC